GACGAACGCUGGCGGCGUGCUUAACACAUGCAAGUCGAGCGGAAAGGCCCUUCGGGGUACUCGAGCGGCGAACGGGUGAGUCACACGUGAGUAACCUGCCCCAGACUUUGGGAUAACCCUCGGAAACGGGGGCUAAUACCGGAUACGACACAGCUUCGCAUGGGGUCUGUGUGGAAAGUUUUUCGGUUUGGGAUGGGCUCGCGGCCUAUCAGCUUGUUGGUGGGGUGAUGGCCUACCAAGGCGACGACGGGUAGCCGGCCUGAGAGGGCGACCGGCCACACUGGGACUGAGACACGGCCCAGACUCCUACGGGAGGCAGCAGUGGGGAAUAUUGCACAAUGGGCGGAAGCCUGAUGCAGCGACGCCGCGUGAGGGAUGACGGCCUUCGGGUUGUAAACCUCUUUCAGCAGGGACGAAGCGUAAGUGACGUUACCUGCAGAAGAAGCGCCGGCCAACUACGUG
rnacentral:rRNA from 1 species